rnacentral:tRNA from 1 species
GGGCCUAUAGCUCAGAUGGUUAGAGCGCACGCCUGAUAAGCGUGAGGUCGGUAGUUCAA